rnacentral:rRNA from 1 species
UACUCCCGCCGGCGACCGGCGCACGGGUGAGUAACACGUAUGAAACCUGCCCGUAGCAGGGGGAUAAGCGGAAGAAAUUCCGUCUAAUACCGCGUAACAACCCGAGGAGGCAUCUCCUCGGGUUUAAAGGAAGCGAUUCCGGCUACGGAUGGUCAUGCGUCGCAUUAGCUAGUUGGCGGGGUAACGGCCCACCGAGGCGACGAUGCGUAGGGGUUCUGAGAGGAAGGUCCCCCACACUGGUACUGAGACACGGACCAGACUCCUACGGAAGGCAGCAG